rnacentral:rRNA from 1 species
AGAGGGUGCGAACGUUGCUCGGAUUUACUGGGCGUAAAGCGCGUGUAGGCGGACUCGCAAGUCGGUUGUGAAAUCCCUGGGCUCAACCUAGGAACUGCAUCCGAAACUGCCUGUCUUGAGUAAUGGAGAGGGUGGCGGAAUUCCCGGUGUAGAGGUGAAAUUCGUAGAUAUCGGGAGGAACAUCAGUGGCGAAGGCGGCCACCUGGACAUUUACUGACGCUGAGACGCGAAAGCGUGGGGAGCAAACAGGGAUUAGAUACCCUGGUAGUCCACGCCGUAAACGAUGAGCACUAGGUGCAGCGGAUAUUGACCUCUGCUGUGCCGCAGCUAACGCGUUAAGUGCUCCGCCUGGGGAGUACGGCCGCAAGGCUA